GCCUGCUUUAAACACUCUAAUUUUUUCAAAGUAUCAGUCCUGAUUCCCCAAGACACCAAAUUAAUGACAUCAAGGUUCGACAGAAGGGAGAAACCGAAAAUACCAGUACGUACCGAGGCACGACGGAUAUAUCGGUCCCGAAAUUCAACUACGAGCUUUUUAACUGCAGCAACUUUAAUAUACGCUAUUGGAGCUGGAAUUACCGCGGCUGCUGGCACCAGACUUGCCCUCCAAA
rnacentral:rRNA from 1 species